GGGUUGAAGAGGUAAAUUUUUCCUGCGCAUUCCAAUCAGUCAAAUUAGGUGAAAAAUCAUUUACAACUUGUUGGAUGCAUGCAGAGAUAACUGCCACCUAUAUAUGACAAAAUCUGUGACUUAUGAUGCUAUCAUAUUAUUUCUGGAGUUAUUGAUAAAAUUAAAACACUGAUAACUUCAAGAUUUUAUAGAGACUUUCAGAAUAAUUGGACUAAGACUAACAAUUCUUAGAGAAAAUGUUGUAAUUAAUGGUGAAAGACAUCCAAAUGUUGAUUAAAUAUUAAAUGUUUAAAAGGAGAUCUAAACUUGUUAAAAUGCUCAACCUAAACCUAUUCUUUGUUUCUGGAGUCCAGACUUCUAUCAUUUUCAUGCACAUAAUGUUAUUGAAUGGCACUAUGGCAGUAUCUAGGCAAACAUGAAUAGCACAUUUCCUAGAAAUAAAUAAAUAUGUUCAUGCAUUCAUAUUAAUCGAUUUCUUUGUGUAUAGAUGUAGACAUGGAUGUGGAUCAAGAGCCCCAGUUACCAAGGAAAAAUGGUUACUUGUUUUACAGACUUAGUUAACAUUUAAAACAUGAUAAUGAAGAUAUAGAAUAACCAGCAGCAGCAAGAGUAUACAGAU
rnacentral:misc_RNA from 1 species